GGCACCAUGGCUUAACUGGCUUAAAACACCUUUCUCAUAAACAGGAGAUCCUGGGUUCAACUCCCAGUGGUGCCU